rnacentral:rRNA from 1 species
GAUGAACGCUGGCGGCGUGCUUAACACAUGCAAGUCGAACGAUGAAGCCCAGCUUGCUGGGUGGAUUAGUGGCGAACGGGUGAGUAACACGUGAGUAACCUGCCCUUAACUCUGGGAUAAGCCUGGGAAACUGGGUCUAAUACCGGAUAGGAGCGUCCACCGCAUGGUGGGUGUUGGAGAGAUUUAUCGGUUUUGGAUGGACUCGCGGCCUAUCAGCUUGUUGGUGAGGUAAUGGCUCACCAAGGCGACAACGGGUAGCCGGCCUGAGAGGGUGACCGGCCACACUGGGACUGAGACACGGCCCAGACUCCUACGGGAGGCAGCAGUGGGGAAUAUUGCACAAUGGGCGCAAGCCUGAUGCAGCGACGCCGCGUGAGGGAUGACGGCCUUCGGGUUGUAAACCUCUUUCAGUAGGGAAGAAGCGAAAGUGACGGUACCUGCAGAAGAAGCACCGGCUAACUACGUG